GCGAAGGGGCCCUGGACGCCCAGCGCCGAGCUGCCCCCGCUCAGGCUUCCCGGCGCAGGACGAGCAGCGGCGCGGCGGGACCUCGGCCCGGCGGGACGGGCUGCUCCGUGCACAGAGCUGCCUUCGCCGGGUGAACGGGAGAAAAUAUACCUUCACCAAAAAAAGAAUAAAAGAAUAAAAGCCUAAAAGCCAGCCCACAGGAUGAUCACAGCACAUUAUCCGUGUGAGGCAAGCGUGCCCCGUGUAAAUACCAGCCUACUUCAAAGAAGAUCAAACUUUGUGUUCCCGCAAGAUCCAGACCGGAGCGUGGGAGCCAGCCACGACACCCCCGAGCGCCGCGUGCAGCGGAGCGGAGCUGGAGAAAUCUCAGCCCUGCGCAAGCAGGGAGAACCGGCCACGCGCUUGCUCCACGCCGGCGUUUCAGCAACAGCUUAUUGCUCAGCGCCUUCUGGGCCAGUCUCUCCUCCCGGGACAUCUCCAGGAACUCGCGGAGCAGGUGGAAGGUGAGGUCCAGGGAGUUGGG